ACAACGGAGAGUUUGAUCCUGGCUCAGGAUGAACGCUGGCGGCGUGCUUAACACAUGCAAGUCGAACGAACCUUCGGGUUAGUGGCGGACGGGUGAGUAACGCGUGAGAAUCUGCCCUCAGGAGGGGGAUAACAGCUGGAAACGGCUGCUAAUACCCCAUAUGCCGCGAGGUGAAAUGAAUUUCGCCUGAGGAUGAGCUCGCGUCUGAUUAGCUAGUUGGUGUGGGUAAUGGCUCACCAAGGCAUCGAUCAGUAGCUGGUCUGAGAGGAUGAUCAGCCACACUGGGACUGAGACACGGCCCAGACUCCUACGGGAGGCAGCAGUGGGGAAUUUUCCGCAAUGGGCGAAAGCCUGACGGAGCAACGCCGCGUGAGGGAUGAAGGCCUCUGGGCUGUAAACCUCUUUUAUCAAGGAAGAAGAUCUGACGGUACUUGAUGAAUAAGCCACGGCUAAUUCCGUGCCAGCAGCCGCGGUAAUACGGGAGUGGCAAGCGUUAUCCGGAAUUAUUGGGCGUAAAGCGUCCGCAGGCGGCCCUUCAAGUCUGCUGUUAAAAAGUGGAGCUUAACUCCAUCAUGGCAGUGGAAACUGAGGGGCUUGAGUGUGGUAGGGGCAGAGGGAAUUCCCGGUGUAGCGGUGAAAUGCGUAGAUAUCGGGAAGAACACCAGUGGCGAAGGCGCUCUGCUGGGCCAUCACUGACGCUCAUGGACGAAAGCCAGGGGAGCGAAAGGGAUUAGAUACCCCUGUAGUCCUGGCCGUAAACGAUGAACACUAGGUGUCGGGGGAAUCGACCCCCUCGGUGUCGUAGCCAACGCGUUAAGUGUUCCGCCUGGGGAGUACGCACGCAAGUGUGAAACUCAAAGGAAUUGACGGGGGCCCGCACAAGCGGUGGAGUAUGUGGUUUAAUUCGAUGCAACGCGAAGAACCUUACCAGGGUUUGACAUCCUGCGAAUCUCUUGGAAACGAGAGAGUGCCUUCGGGAGCGCAGUGACAGGUGGUGCAUGGCUGUCGUCAGCUCGUGUCGUGAGAUGUUGGGUUAAGUCCCGCAACGAGCGCAACCCACGUCUUUAGUUGCCAGCAUUUAGUUGGGCACUCUAGAGAGACCGCCGGUGAUAAACCGGAGGAAGGUGUGGAUGACGUCAAGUCAUCAUGCCCCUUACAUCCUGGGCUACACACGUACUACAAUGCUACGGACAAAGGGCAGCAAGUUCGCGAGGACAAGCAAAUCCCAUAAACCGUGGCUCAGUUCAGAUCGUAGGCUGCAACUCGCCUACGUGAAGGAGGAAUCGCUAGUAAUCGCAGGUCAGCAUACUGCGGUGAAUACGUUCCCGGGCCUUGUACACACCGCCCGUCACACCAUGGAAGUUGGCCACGCCCGAAGCCGUUACUCCAACCCUUGUGGAGGAGGACGUCGAAGGUGGGGCUGAUGACUGGGGUGAAGUCGUAACAAGGUAUCCGUACCGGAAGGUGCGGAUGGAUCACCUCCUAA
rnacentral:rRNA from 2 species